rnacentral:rRNA from 1 species
UACGAAGGGGGCUAGCGUUGUUCGGAUUAACUGGGCGUAAAGGGUGCGUAGGCGGGUUUUUAAGUCAGGGGUGAAAUCCCGAGGCUCAACCUCGGAACUGCCUUUGAUACUGGAAAUCUUGAGUCUGGGAGAGGUGAGUGGAACUGCGAGUGUAGAGGUGAAAUUCGUAGAUAUUCGCAAGAACACCAGUGGCGAAGGCGGCUCACUGGCCCGGUACUGACGCUGAGGUGCGAAAGCGUGGGGAGCAAACAGG